rnacentral:rRNA from 1 species
GACGAACGCUGGCGGCGUGCUUAACACAUGCAAGUCGAACGAUGAAGAAAAGAAUCGAAGCUUCGGCAGAAAUUCAUUUCGGAUUAGUGGCAGACGGGUGAGUAACGCGUGAGCAACCUACCUCUUACAAAGGGAUAGCCUCGGGAAACCGGGAUUAAUACCAUAUCACAUUGUGACGAAGCAUUUCGCUGCAAUCAAAGCUACGGCGGGAAGAGAUGGGCUCGCGUCCCAUUAACCGGAUGGUGAGGUAACGGCUCACCAUAGUGACGAUGGGUAACCGGCCUGAGAGGGUGAACGGUCACACUGGAACGGGGACACGGUCCAGACUCCUACGGGAAGCAGCAGUGGGGAAUAUUGCACAAUGGAGGGAACUCUGAUGCAGCGACGCCGCGUGAGUGAUGAAGGAAUGCGUUAAGUAAAACUCUGUUCUAUGGGAAGAAAAUGACGGUACCAUAGGAGAAAGCACCGGCUAAAUACGUG